rnacentral:rRNA from 1 species
GAAGUGCGAAUGCUGACAUAAGUAACGAUAAAGCGGGUGAAAAGCCCGCUCGCCGGAAGACCAAGGGUUCCUGUCCAACGUUAAUCGGGGCAGGGUGAGUCGACCCCUAAGGCGAGGCCGAAAGGCGUAGUCGAUGGGAAACAGGUUAAUAUUCCUGUACUUGGUGUUACUGCGAAGGGGGGACGGAGAAGGCUAUGUUAGCCGGGCGACGGUUGUCCCGGUUUAAGCAUGUAGGCUGAUUGUCCAGGCAAAUCCGGAUAAUCAAGGCUGAGGUGUGAUGAC